rnacentral:rRNA from 1 species
AACGAACGCUGGCGGCAGGCUUAACACAUGCAAGUCGAACGGGCACCUUACGGGGGUCAGUGGCAGACGGGUGAGUAACGCGUGGGAACGUACCCUUCGUUCGGAAUAACCCAGGGAAACUUGGGCUAACACCGGAUACGUCCGCAAGGAGAAAGAUUUAUCGCCGAAGGAUCGGCCCGCGUCGGAUUAGCUAGUUGGUGGGGUAAUGGCCCACCAAGGCGACGAUCCGUAGCUGGUCUGAGAGGAUGAUCAGCCACACUGGGACUGAGACACGGCCCAGACUCCUACGGGAGGCAGCAGUGGGGAAUAUUGGACAAUGGGCGAAAGCCUGAUCCAGCCAUGCCGCGUGAGUGAAGAAGGCCUUAGGGUUGUAAAGCUCUUUCAGC